AUGGCCCAAGAGAUUAGAAAAGUGGCUAAAGAGAUGUUGGGUGAAUCAAGAGAGUGGUCUAGGUGUAAAAAUUCUGAAUCUUGGGAAAAGUACAAGAAAGCUAAGAAUGAAACCAAGAAGGCGGUGAGUGAAACAAGAACCCAAACUUUUGACGGAUUAUACCAAUUUCUAGAAACCAAGGAAGGAGAAAAAUCUAUAUAUAGGCUUGCUAAGGGAAGAGAAAGAAAGACUAGAGAAUUGUAUCAAAGGAAGUAUGCUAAAGAUGAAAAAUGA